rnacentral:rRNA from 1 species
AGCGAACGUUUGCGGCGGGCCUAACACAUGCAAGUCGAACGCACUAGCAAUAGUGAGUGGCGCACGGGUGCGUAACACGUGGGUAAUCAACCCUUCAGCCUGGGAUAACGACUCGAAAGGGUCGCUAAUACCGGAUACGGCGCGAGAGGCUUCGGCUUCUCACGAGAAAGCCACGCAAGGGGCACUGAAGGACGAGCCUGCGGCCCAUCAGCUAGUUGGUGAGGUAAGAGCUCACCAAGGGCUAAGACGGGUAGCUGGUCUGAGAGGAUGAUCAGCCACACUGGAACUGAGACACGGUCCAGACUCCUACGGGAGGCAGCAGUGGGGAAUAUUGCGCAAUGGGCGAAAGCCUGACGCAGCCACGCCGCGUGAGCGAUGAAGGCCUUGGGUCGUAAAGCGUCUGUGGGAGAGACGAAGAAAGACCUGUGAAGAGCAGGCCUUGACGGUAGUCUCCUCA